GCGGAGCUCAUACGGCCCCCGGACGAGCGCACCGUACCCGGCCAGCGACAAGACGGUGCCCU
rnacentral:ncRNA from 1 species